AAUUAUAUAUAUAUAUAUAUAUAUAUAUAUAUAAUUUCAAUGGAGGCAAUACCAGCGGAAAACUAGAAGAACAUGACCUAUCAUCCAAUAGAAUAUUCAAUACAUAUGUCCUGGGGUCGAUUUGCUCUAAAGGCGGUGCUCCAG